rnacentral:misc_RNA from 1 species
AAGUCGUAACAAGGUUUCCGUAGGUGAACCUGCGGAAGGAUCAUUACAAAAACAAAAUCCAAAACACACCAAAUGUGCUCUUUUGACGCAAAGGUCUUUGUGUGUGUAAGUAUGUGUAAGUAUGUGUGAGUAUGUAUGUGUGUGUGUGUGUGUCUCUGUUUUGUUUGGGUGCGUGGCAACACACACUCACACACUUCACCGCACAUAUACAUACACACACCACACACACACACACACACACACACACACACAACCCUUUGUUUGUCUUUUUGUUUUCAAUUUUCAUCAACUCCUUGUUUAACCAACAACGGAUUACAAUGUUAAAACUGAAACCAAAAACAAUAACAAAAUGACAACUUUUAACGGUGGAUCUCUUGGCUCGU